GUGCCAGCAGCCGCGGUAAUACGUAGGGGGCGAGCGUUGUCCGGAUUCAUUGGGCGUAAAGCGCGCGCAGGCGGCUCCGAGAGCCCGGCGUGAAAGCCCCCGGCUCAACCGGGGGAGGUCGUCGGGGACCUCGGGGCUGGAGGCCGGCAGGGGCGAGCGGAAUUCCCGGUGUAGUGGUGGAAUGCGUAGAGAUCGGGAGGAACACCAGUGGCGAAGGCGGCUCGCUGGGCCGGUCCUGACGCUCAGGCGCGAAAGCGUGGGGAGCGAUCCGGAUUAGAAACCCCUGUAGUCC
rnacentral:rRNA from 1 species